UGGGGCGUCGCCAAGUGGUAAGGCAGCGGUUUUUGGUACCGCCAUUCGCAGGUUCGAAUCCUGCCGCCCCAGCCA
rnacentral:tRNA from 11 species